GAGACUCUGUGCGCGUGCAUAUCAAUAAGCGGAGGAAAAGAAACUAACAAGGAUUCCCUAGUAACGGCGAGUGAAGCGGGAAGAGCUCAAAUUUGAAAUCUUCAAGGUUCUACCUUGACGAAUUGUAGUUUAUAGAAGUGUUUUCUGUUAGUGAGUUGGCUAAAAGUUCUUUGGAAUAGGACAUCAUAGAGGGUGAGAAUCCCGUAUUUGUACCAUUAUCUCCUAGCGUUGUGAUACACUUUCAACGAGUCGGAUUGUAUUUUGGGAAUGCAGUCCAAAAUGGGUGGUAAAUUUCAUCUAAAGCUAAGUAUUGGCGAGAGACCGAUAGCGAACAAGUACCGUGAGGGAAAGAUGAAAAGAACUUUGAAAAGAGAGUUAAACAGUACGUGAAAUUGUCAAAAGGGAAGCGUUUGACACCAGUGUUGUUUAGUUGAAAAUCAAUUCAAUAGUUUUUGAUUCUAAGUAGUAUUGACUUCAUCAGCUUGCUGCUUUCUUCUCAGAAAUUAUUGAAUGCACUUUUCAGUUAACAAGUCAACAUCAAUUUCUUUUGUUGUAAAAAGGGUAAGAGGAAGGUGGCUUGCGCUUCGGCUCAAGUGUUUAUAGCCUUUUAUCUCCUGCAAUCGGAGAGAUUGAGGUCUGCAGCGUAGAUCCUUCGGGGUUAGAUACAUUGGUGCUAAGCUAUAGCCUUGUAUAGACAACUUGUUGACUAUGCUCAGUCAUGUAGCUUACUCGCUUAUGCUAUUUUACCUACGCUUAGGAUGUUGAUCUGUAGUGCGUGCGC
rnacentral:rRNA from 1 species